UGAGUGUUGUUUUUUUCAGAUUAAGUUUGUUGUCUCACUAUUCCAAGCAUAGUAUUCAUGCUGUUUCAUUUCGCACUAAUUAAAUGCUUCAGUUAUUUAUUCUUUUGGUUUUAUUUGGAUAAAUAAAUUUUAGAGGAUUUACUAAGAUGAUCUUGAAUUUUGCAGUCCAUGCAAUUUCAUAAUAUUGUUAGAGAUCCAUCUACAGCUGGUCAGUAUUGCUAUCUUCUCUUUCAGUUUUAAACCAUCUCAUCAUAAUUGUUUAUGUCUCUUUCAUGUUAAUACUCUGGCUCCAGUAUGACUUGGCUUAAAGCAACAAAGAAUAUACAUAGUAGAGACUCAAAACCUAAUUAUUCUUUGGUACUUCUGUUAGCUCUGCUAUGCAGGGAGCCAUUUCUUGAAUAUUCAUAAUCCUAUCUUUUUCUUGGUGCUGCCAAUUAAUUUUAUGUACCAAGUGGACUUAGUGCAAUUAUCUUACUGUAUAAUGCCUCACAAUGUCUGCCAUGGCACUUACCUAGAUGUAAUUACAUGAUAACUAAACUAUUUUUUUUGUACUUGAUCUGGAUAAUACAGGAAACAUGCUCAACAGCUGGUCUUGUUCAAUGGGUGCUGCAAAUUUAGAAGUCUUUGUGAAAAUGACUUGUGGCGGGGUCUGCUGUGUGAGGAUCCAGAAGAUGCAAUUACUGUCUGCCUUUGCUGCAGGUGGCCAAUCUCACUAAUAAAUAAUAAGCAUUUGUGUGGCGGGGUUUGCUGGGUGAGGAUCCGCACGUUGCAAUUACUGUCUGCUUUUGAUGUAGGUGGCCAAACUCACUAUUAAGCACUUGUCAAGAUCAAUUGUCUGGGAAGGGAAAUGCAGGCAUGUUCUCUAUAAGGACCAGAAGAUCAGCGAGGACAUACUAUAUUUGGAUAUAAGCUCUGAACAUCUGAAGGCAGAAUAUUAGUAGGACAGGAUAUAUAUAGGAGUGGUUAGAUUGUCAUAUUUUGAAUCAGCAUUGUAAGCUGUGUGUACUCUUCGAAUGAUUUUCAUGUAUUCUGAUAGUGAUUCCAGUAAUAAAAAUUCAGUUGUUUCUUCA